rnacentral:rRNA from 1 species
AUCCCAUUCCGAACUCCGAAGUCAAGCCCGCCUGCGGCAAUGGUACUGCACCCUUAGGUGUGGGAGAGUAGCUCUGCGCAGCCU